rnacentral:misc_RNA from 1 species
GAAAUGCGAUAAGUAAUGUGAAUUGCAGAAUUCAGUGAAUCAUCGAAUCUUUGAACGCACCUUGCGCUCCUUGGUAUUCCGAGGAGCAUGCCUGUUUGAGUGUCAUUUAAUUCUCAACCCCUCCAGCUUUUUGUAGCUGGCUUGGUGGCUUGGAUGUGGGGGAUUGAUUUUGCGGGCCUCCUCAGAGGUCGGCUCCCCUGAAAUGCAUUAGCGGAACUGUUUGCGGAACCGCCACUGGUGUGAUAAUUAUCUAUACCAAAGGCGACCGCUCUCUAGUAGCUCUGCUCCUAACCGUCCUGUUUCUCAUGGACAAUAAUAUCUGAAUGCUUGACCUCAAAUCAGGUAGGACUACCCGCUGAACUUAA